rnacentral:lncRNA from 1 species
UUUUUCCCCAAUGUGGUAUUGGUAGUUACUAAAAGUAGUUUACUAAAGUAUGUCAAUAUUUCUUGUACUAAUUAUGUUCUCAUAGCUCUAAACGAUUUCUCUUUUCCUUCUUUCCCUAAAUCAGAGCAGACCCCUGUGCAGGAUAAAGCUGAAUGUGGCAGCGCUGGACAGCAGUACAUCAUACAGAUGGUCUCCAGAGUGUUUGACAUGUGCCUCUACCACUGUCACCACACUGUCCUCCGAGUCUCUGAGGAGGUGCUGGCCAUUCACCAAGAGAUUGACCUCCUGAAGACCCCAGAACACACGGAGACAGGGCCGGGCUCAAACUGAUGCUGUUUACUGAUGUUAAACCUAAGAUAUGUUGUAAAUGGUUGUAAAAAGUACUUUCUAUUAUGUAUAGAACAAUUUGUUUUAAUGUGUAAAAAAGUAUUUACAGGACAAACAAAUAAACAUAUAAAAGAAUGUUUUGUGAAAAAAAAUAUAAGCUGCAUUAAAAAAAAUUAAUGUACAUAAGCACUUUUUAUUUACACAUGUGAAUAUGCAAAACAAAAAUACAAAAUGUACAGAAAGUACUCAGGCUUAUUUACGAAUAAAUUACACACAAAAAAUGAAUAAUGUAUACAAUUUAUGCAUUUCAUUUUUAACUUGCAUCACAAAAAUAAACUACAGAAAUUAGGUUGUUUCAUUGACAAUAUGACAUUUAAAAAAUAUAUUGGAAAAACUGUAAUGUACUCAUUUUUUUCUCUUGGCUAAUGAAGAAUGUAUUUGUUUGAGUUUGAUGUCCUCCCUGUCCACUCGCUCCCUCACCUGUCUCAGGACACUUCACAAAUAAACCAUGCCUGUUAACAACAAAAACACAUGCUCACUUUCUCCAGAAUAGUAUUAAAACAAAAGAAAAUGGAAACACUUAUGAAAAAGACAGGUUUGCGAUCUUAACAUUAGAAAAUAUGACACAGCAGGACAUGCAUACAAAAUACUUAUGUGCUAAAGUUUGGUUAAAACAUUUGUAGACAUCUCU